GACGGAGGUGGCAAACGUUGCUCGGAAUUACUGGGCUUAAAGGGCGUGUAGGCGGUCGAUUAAGUCGGGUGUGAAAAACCUCGGCCCAACCGAGGAAUUGCAUUCGAUACUGAUCGGCUAGAGUGCGAGAGGGGCAAGUGGAACUCCAGGUGUAGCGGUGAAAUGCGUAGAUAUCUGGAGGAACGCCGGUGGCGAAAGCGACUUGCUGGCUCGUAACUGACGCUGAGGCGCGAAAGCCAGGGGAGCAAACGGG
rnacentral:rRNA from 1 species